rnacentral:rRNA from 1 species
UACGGGGGGAGCAAGCGUUGUUCGGAUUUACUGGGCGUAAAGGGCGCGUAGGCGGCCUGUGCAAGUCAGUUGUGAAAUCUCCGAGCUUAACUCGGAACGGUCAACUGAUACUGCUCGGCUAGAGUGCGGAAGGGGCAACUGGAAUUCUUGGUGUAGCGGUGAAAUGCGUAGAUAUCAAGAGGAACACCUGCGGCGAAGGCGGGUUGCUGGGCCGACACUGACGCUGAGGCGCGAAAGCUAGGGGAGCGAACGGGG